rnacentral:rRNA from 1 species
AUCGAACGCUGGCGGCAGGCUUAACACAUGCAAGUCGAACGAGUGGCGGACGGGCGAGUAAUGCUUUGGCACCUAGCUUAUGGAGGGGGAUAACUACGGGAACCUGUAGCUAAUACUGCUUACGACCGGUUGAGCUCAAGGGGGAUGAGGUAGUUGGUGAGGUAAAGGCUCACCAAGCCGACGAUCCCUAGCUGGUCUGAGAGGAUGACCAGCCACACUGGGACUGAGACACGGCCCAGACUCCUACGGGAGGCAGCAGUGGGGAAUAUUGCGCAAUGGGGGCAACCUGACGCAGCCAUGCCGCGUGAAUGAAGAAGGCCUUCGGGUUGUAAAGUUCUUUCGGUAGCGAGGCGUUAACUACAGAAGAAGCACCGGCUAACUCCGUGCCAGCAGCCGCGGUAAUUC